GUGUGUGGCCCUGGGCAGCUCUCAGCCUGCCACAUUUUGAGCUUCAGCUAGGACAGGAUUUGGAUCUAAAGGAUCCUGUAGCCCCAAACACACCCAGCACUUCGAGGGAGGCAAAAAUUCCAAAGAACACAGUUUGGGAAACACUGCCAGUAAGAAAGUCUCCAGUUUUGUGCUGGGAGACUGUGAAGAGUCCCUUUAGACGAUCAUGCUUCAUUGGUGACUUAGAAGACGCCCAGUGUCUACUGGUCCGGUCAAUAGUCAUGAGAACCCGAGUGGGAUGGAGAUGGAGUUAGUGAUGGGCCCAAAGGCUUUGUCAGGGUCAAAAGUUCAAUGAAGUCUGAAACAUCGCAACUGCGGGGAGCUGAAGACCCUAAACUUGGCUUAAAAUGCAAAGUCAAGAGUAGACGUAGGCAUUCUUGUAUGCUUUCUUGCACGAUGGAGACUGAGUUCUGGGCCCAGCACGUGCCAGGCCAGCACUCCAUGACUGAGCUACAUCUCCAGUCCUUAGUAUUACCAUUGAGCCCCGUUCACCUACAGAUCUCAUAACUUACCUAAGAUCGUCCAAACUAGCGAGUGUCAGAGCAUGUCAGGGACCAGACUCCUUCAGGGUCUGCUGACUCUGGCCUGGACAGAGGCCGACUUGGGGCAUCAUGCUCAUACCUUUCUGAGCAAGCAGCGCAUGUGUGGGGAGUGGAUGCAGGAUGCAGGAGUUUGCCUGUUUACACUACCUGGAUGCCCAGCUUCUGGUAGCAAGAUUGGAUGGUCCACGCUGGUUUUUAAUGGAGUCACAUGUCCUGGUCCUCAAUUUGGGGUGGUGGUUUCAGGAACUGGGCAGACUCAUGUUGGGAUUAGAAAGCUGUAACCACUAGGUUCAAGGAAGUCUCACUCACAUAGAGGAAGACAAACCCAAGCUAUGGACUUAGCUUUUCUGUGCCUCAGUUUCCUCAUUUAGUAAGGAGGGGGAGUGGUCUCGAGGCAUACCUGCUGAGGGAUGUCUGGUGUUACCUUCUGCACCUGGGAAAUACUCAGGGGCCAUGUUCCUGCUCACUGGUCCUUCUUGACACGGAUAAUGCCAGUUCCCAGGCCUCAGCCUUGAAGGCCAAGGCCAUUUGCCUCCUGGGGGCCUCUGGCUUUGGAAGGUUUCCCAGGAAUCCUUGAGCUAAGCAUUAUCUUUUCAGCCUGUGUGAGACUUCUGCUUGGGGCUUCCAAACUAAACUAGUUUCGUCUUAAAUACAAGAAAUCAAUCCUUGC